GACAUUUUUUUAUAAUCUUAUUUGAACUAUGGUUUACAAAUAAAGGAUUUUUGCUUGAAAAUGUCUUAUGAAAAUAUGUGUUUAAAAAUGAAAAUUGGGACGUUACAAGAUGGCUUCUAUUUUUGAUGGUGCUCGAAUCUAAUAAGUUGUUGCCUCUACCAUCGUUUUUUGCAGUGUUGAUGUUUUUCUGUUGUUCGUCUUCAUCCAUUAGAUGGUAGACAAUACCCAAGCUUGGCGUAGGUUUGGUGCUGAGUAUUUGGGUCUUUAUGGUCCCGAAAUUGUCAUCAAGACCCAUCAGAAAUUUGUAUACACAGUCUUUCUCUUUGGACUCGAUAAGUCUUUUUCCUAGGUUGCAAGAAUAGUUGGGGCACGUUCAUGUUGGUGAAGAAGAGACAGAUUCAAUUUCAUGCUAUACACCCUUCAUCAUCGUGAACCAUGCCUUGUAUUCUUGCGCAUCUUCUGCUGGUUUUGGGAUAGUUCCAUCAAUGAAGUCGACCCUAUUCUUGGGAAUGAGGAAUUCACUCAUCUCCCGAGACCAGUCAGGAUAGUUGUCAUUCAAACUAUCAUUCACGUGCAUCUGAUGAGGAUAAUCAGUAAGGUGAAUAUAGUAUGGCGAAUCUGGAUCAAAAGAGGGGUUUUUGGCACUUCCUUCGGCGUCAUCUGUUGGUACAACCAUGGUGGCCUUUGGUUUGUGAUUUCAAUGGAUCAGAGGAUCCGUUGAUACCAUAUAGAAAACAAAAGUAAAGUUCAACUGGAACGAAUUGAUUCCGGGGUUAUCUCAUACAAUCGACAAAGGAGAGUAUAUAUACAUCAUUAUGAACUAAAGGAUAAGCAGGAAAUUAGAUAGAAUCCUACCGGGAAACUAGGAAGAAAAUAAAGAUAAGAUAAACAUAAUCUUGAUAUUAAUAUUAUUUUCUUCAAGUGUAGGCUUCUAUUCAUGGAUUUUGUGAAUUCUAGUGGAAUUCAAUUUCGAAGUAACUACGAGAUAA